rnacentral:tRNA from 3 species
CGAGGGGGUCAUAAGACCUGCUAACUCUUUAACCUGGGAUUAAUAAACCAGCCCCCUCUACC